GCCAGACUCCUACGGGAGGCAGCAGUGGGGGAUAUUGCACAAUGGGGGGAACCCUGAUGCAGCGACGCCGCGUGGGUGAAGGAGUAUUUCGGUAUGUAAAGCCCUAUCGGCAGGGAAGAAGCAAGACGGUACCUGACUAAGAAGCCCCGGCUAACUACGUGCCAGCAGCCGCGGUAAUACGUAGGGGGCAAGCGUUAUCCGGAAUUACUGGGUGUAAAGGGAGCGUAGACGGUGAUGCAAGUCUGGAGUGAAAGGCGGGGGCCCAACCCCCGGACUGCUCUGGAAACUGUAUGACUUGAGUGCAGGAGAGGUAAGCGGAAUUCCUAGUGUAGCGGUGAAAUGCGUAGAUAUUAGGAGGAACACCAGUGGCGAAGGCGGCUUACUGGACUGUAACUGACGUUGAGGCUCGAAAGCGUGGGGAGCAAACAGGAUUAGAUACCCCUGUA
rnacentral:rRNA from 1 species